GACAGAGGGUGCAAACGUUGUUCGGAAUUACUGGGCGUAAAGCGCGUGUAGGCUGCUCUGCAAGUCGGAUGUGAAAGCCCUGGGCUCAACCUAGGAAGUGCAUUCGAAACUGCAGAGCUGGAGUCCUGGAGAGGAAGGCGGAAUUCUCGGUGUAGAGGUGAAAUUCGUAGAUAUCGAGAGGAACACCGGUGGCGAAGGCGGCCUUCUGGACCGUAACUGACGCUGAGGCGCGAAAGCGUGGGGAGCAAACAGG
rnacentral:rRNA from 1 species